rnacentral:rRNA from 1 species
AACGAACGCUGGCGGCAUGCCUAACACAUGCAAGUCGAACGAGACCUUCGGGUCUAGUGGCGCACGGGUGCGUAACGCGUGGGAAUCUGCCCUGGGGUGCGGAAUAACUCGGAGAAAUCCGUGCUAAUACCGCAUAAUGUCUUCGGACCAAAGAUUUAUCGCCCUGGGAUGAGCCCGCGUAGGAUUAGCUAGUUGGUGGGUAAAGGCCUACCAAGGCGACGAUCCUUAGCUGGUCUGAGAGGAUGAUCAGCCACACUGGGACUGAGACACGGCCCAGACUCCUACGGGAGGCAGCAGUGGGGAAUAUUGGACAAUGGGCGAAAGCCUGAUCCAGCAAUGCCGCGUGAGUGAUGAAGGCCCUAGGGUUGUAAAGCUCUUUUACCCGGGAUGAUAAUGACAGUACCGGGAGAAUAAGACUCCGGCUAACUCCGUGCCAGCAGCCGCGGU